GACGAACGCUGGCGGCGUGCUUAACACAUGCAAGUCGAACGGAAAGGCCCUGCUUGCAGGGUACUCGAGUGGCGAACGGGUGAGUAACACGUGGGUGAUCUGCCCUGCACUUCGGGAUAAGCCUGGGAAACUGGGUCUAAUACCGGAUAGGAGCCAUUUUUAGUGUGAUGGUUGGAAAGUUUUUUCGGUGUAGGAUGAGCUCGCGGCCUAUCAGCUUGUUGGUGGGGUAAUGGCCUACCAAGGCGGCGACGGGUAGCCGGCCUGGGAGGGUGGACGGCCACACUGGGACUGAGAUACGGCCCAGACUCCUACGGGAGGCAGCAGUGGGGAAUAUUGCACAAUGGGCGCAAGCCUGAUGCAGCGACGCCGCGUGGGGGAUGACGGCCUUCGGGUUGUAAACUCCUUUCGCUAGGGACGAAGCUUUUUGUGACGGUACCUAGAUAAGAAGCACCGGCUAACUACGUG
rnacentral:rRNA from 1 species